rnacentral:rRNA from 1 species
ACACCGGCAGCUCUAGUGGUAGCUGUUUUUAUUGGGCCUAAAGCGUUCGUAGCCGGUUUGGUAAGUCACUGGUGAAAUCCUGUAGCUUAACUAUGGGCAUUGCUGGUGAUACUGUUGAACUUGAGGUCGGGAGAGGUUAGCGGUACUCCCAGGGUAGAGGUGAAAUUCUGUAAUCCUGGGAGGAACAACUGUGGCGAAGGCGGCUAACUGGAACGAACCUGACGGUGAGGGACGAAAGCUAGGGGCGCGAACCGGAUUAGAUACCCGGGUAGUCCUAGCCGUAAACGAUGCGGACUUGGUGUUGGGAUGGCUUUGAGCCGCUCCGGUGCCGAAGGGAAGCUGUUAAGUCCGCCGCCUGGGAAGUACGGUCGCAAGACUGAAACUUAAAGGAAUUGACGGGG